AGUGAACGCUGGCGGUAGGCCUAACACAUGCAAGUCGAACGGCAGCACAGGAGAGCUUGCUCUCUGGGUGGCGAGUGGCGGACGGGUGAGGAAUACAUCGGAAUCUGCCCAGUCGUGGGGGAUAACGUAGGGAAACUUACGCUAAUACCGCAUACGACCUUCGGGUGAAAGAGGGGGAUCGCAAGACCUCUCGCGAUUGGAUGAGCCGAUGUCGGAUUAGCUAGUUGGCGGGGUAAUGGCCCACCAAGGCGACGAUCCGUAGCUGGUCUGAGAGGAUGAUCCGCCCAACUGGAACUGGGACACGGUCCAGACUCCUACGGGAGGCAGCAGUGGGGAAUAUUGGACAAUGGGCGCAAGCCUGAUCCAGCCAUACCGCGUGGGUGAAGAAGGCCUUCGGGUUGUAAAGCCCUUUUGUUGGGAAAGAAAUCUUUCAGGCUAAUACCCUGGGAGGAUGACGGUACCCAAAGAAUAAGCACCGGCUAACUUCGUG
rnacentral:rRNA from 1 species